AUCCAGCUGACCACGAGUCAUAAAUAGGACGAAAUGCGCAUCUUGGAU
rnacentral:hammerhead_ribozyme from 1 species